UUUUUUUUCCUAUUUUUAGAUAUUUUGUUGCAAGGUUAUGAGUGAAAAUGUUUGCAGAUCUAGGAACAUAAGCAAACUUUAGUUGUUGAAAUAAUGUCUUUGUCUAAUGUAUAUCAUCAAUGAUAGCCCAAACCUUCGAUCUGUCUUUAACACUUCUUUUUUUUUUGUUUAUGAUGGACUUUGCACCUCUUUCUAUGACCACAUGUUAG
rnacentral:lncRNA from 1 species